rnacentral:rRNA from 1 species
CGAAAGCCUGACGCAGCGACGCCGCGUGGGGGAGGAAGGCUCUUGGGUUGUAAACCUCUUUUCUCAGGGAAGAAACCUGACGCUACCUGAGGAAUCAGCAUCGGCUAACUCCGUGCCAGCAGCCGCGGUAAUACGGAGGAGGCAAGCGUUAUCCGGAAUUAUUGGGCGUAAAGCGUCCGCAGGUGGCGAUUCAAGUCUGCUGUCAAAGCACGGGGCUUAACUCCGUUAAGGCAGAGGAAACUGAAUGGCUAGAGUGCCGUAGGGGUAGAGGGAAUUCCCGGUGUAGCGGUGAAAUGCGUAGAGAUCGGGAAGAACAUCGGUGGCGAAAGCGCUCUACUGGACGGCAACUGACACUCAGGGACGAAAGCUAGGGGAGCG